GUUACAGCUCUGGAGGGAAAGGUACCCCGGCCAUAUCUGUUCUGGUGCGGCAUGGGUUCCCCACAGGAACGUAGCAACCCUGCUCCUCCCUGAGAGAGGGGUUACUGCUCAGCCCUGCUCCAUCUCCUAAGGGGUUCCCUGCAAGAAAGGCAGCAGUUUGCUCCUGCAAAGGUUGUUACUUCCCUGCCCUGCUCCACUCUGGUGAAAGAUUGUCUUUAUGUAAACAUGAUUCAAGAGAUUUAUUGAGAGGGAGGAAUCCAGGAGAGUGACCAGACUGCCUCUGCCAUGGUGGAAAAGGCAGCUCCCAACCCAGCAGAUGCAGGGCUUAUGUAGGAUUUCUUAGGGGAUGGAAGGUUUCCAGUGUGAAGAUUUUCAGGGCGGGAAUUGGUCAAAUUUCAAUCCUUGAGCUUCGAUAAGCUCAGAGAUUGGCCAGUUUUCAUGCUCAGGGAUUGGAUGGUUUUCUUGCUGAGUUGGUCAGGGGCAGAGUGUGUUAGUGAAUUGGCUCUGGUUUCAGGGCCAGUGAGUUGGCUCUGGUUUCAGGGCCAGUGAGUUGGCUCUGGUUUCAGGGUCAGUGUGUGUUUCUUUGAUUGACCCUUUUACCCUACAGCGUGGGCCCAGUAGAAGAAAAGGGAAAAGGGAUUUGAAGACACGAGGGUAUGCUUCCUGUGUUAAGGGCCAAUGUUUACAGGAACAUGGAUGUUUCUGAGAAAUGUUAGCUCACAGGACCUAGUUCAGGGAGGUGCUGGAGAGAUGGCGGGCACACAGGGCGGUGAAACACACCCAGGCUCUGACCUCCGACACUGGGGGCGAGUUUAAAGCGUUUUCAGUAGGGAGAAGCAAUGCAUUGCAGAGUGACUCAUCUCUCCCUUGUAGCAUAGGAGGUCCGCAGCAGGUAGAGAGGUUGCUGCUGCAGUGAGGGUCACGUGAGAGGCGACAUAAAUCAGGCAAUGAGGGGCACACGGAAGGACCACGCCAGAGCUGACCAUGCACCUUGGCCUCUGCCCUCAGCUUUCCUCUUGGAUGCUCUGUCUGUGACGGGUCUUCACAGGGUACAGCCACAGGAGCUAGUUCAUAGCUCUCGGCAGCAUCUCCUCCAUAUCUUUCUACCUGCUUGGUGUUUUUAUCCGGAAGCUCAGCAUCACUUCAAUGACUCAAGCCCAGGAAAGAGAAGCCUCCGGAAUCUUUCUCUAAAUCAAGGCACCGUUCGGGUUUCCUGUUCCCCUUGAUGCGAAAAUAGCAGAGCAGAUGUGGCUAAUCCUCCGGGAGAAAAUUUCCUUUUAGCUGAUAUCACACGUAAAUGCUGGGACCUGAAGGGGAUGCUGAGAGAAUUCUGGCUCGGAAAAACAUUUCUUUAAUGAGUGAUUGGCGCAUGUGGGCCACAGUGAUGGGCGGGCUCACUACUUGCUAGUUCUUCGUUCAGACACGUUCCUUACUGGUUUUGUACGGCAGUGUUUGUGGACUAGAAGCAAUCACAGCAUUUUUUCCCCGCGGCUGAUACUUUCUUCUUGGAAGGUACCCUGCUUCUUUGGUGGCUCUCAGUUAACUGGAGUGGUUUGUUCUGGAGCCUUUGAGUAGCGGUCCAAUUACCAAUUGAUAUUAAUAUGUGAGUUCCAUCCGGUGGCCGCUGAUGUCCUGGCUCUAGAACUCAGGACACAUCCCAUUCUCUACUUGCCUGUUUGUACCACACAGCCUCCUGUAUGUUCUCAAGGCUUCCUCCUCUGUGGGGGAGCUGAGAAACCCUACCUCAUUUCUGUGCCCUCUUUGUCUUUCUGUCAGCUAGAUUUGAGGCUGUUGGGAGGCUCAGGUCACAAAUCCCGAGGUGCAACUGUCUCAUUUCCCAUGUUCAUCCUCAUCCUACUGGGACCCACGUCCAGUCAUCCUUGGGUCUUGUCUCCCUGACCAUCCUCCCGCCUGCUGUGUACAGUUCCUUCACCACAUUUGAGACUCCCAAGCCUAACAGGUCCCCUGCCGCUCCAGAAUGUUUGUUCCCAGUGAGCACUGACCACUUAGGUGCUUACAGAGAGAAACUGGACCUUCUGUGUCUGUCCUGAGAGACCAGCUUGUCUAGCCUGCUUGGCCACAGGGAUCAUUAUUAUGUAAAAGGGCUUUCUUUAGCAAUUCCUCUGCUGUCUGUCUGAUCCUCUUCUGUCUCUGGUGUUCCCGGGAACAAAGUGUGUAUAGUCUACAAAACAGAAGACCGAACUCUAAUGCCAGCUGGGCCCAGCAGGUGCUCAAAUCUUUGUUUAUUGCUGCUGAACGCCAACCCUGGGACAAUAGUGAGCCCAAACAUACCACCUCUCAGCCCUGACCUCAUGACCUUGACAGUCAGGCCAGUCAAAACCGGGCAGGAGAAAGCCAGGCUGGAAGGACAUUGCUCAAGGCAGCUUUGACACCUGUGAGGUCGCCCCGCCCCCCCGUGCUGGUGGUGAUAGUCGUGCACUAGUGUGCCCAGAAAGGAGAACUAGAGGAAACUGGUGUGUGCGUGGUACUGAGGCCUCCUUAAUUUACAGAUCCUAAGUGGCAGGGGACAGAGGCUACUCUUGCUGGCCUCUCGGUACAGUUCCCAACGGAAGAGAAGCACAUAGCCGGUAGUCCUGCAGAGCCUAAGGGAAGGAAUGAAACUAAAACCCAAAUCUUGUGCGGCUGUAAGAGCAGGCAGGACCCCUGGACUGGGGUGACCCUCUCACAUCCCCUUCGUGUGCUGUGCAGUCUGGAGGGAUGGUGUGCGUCCGGGAUUGGGGGAGAGCUGCCGAGCCUGAUAUACCUGACACAAAUGUGUCCAGUUGUCCAAAGAAGCUUGCUUUUGAACAUGAGGAAACCCACUACCGUUGAAGGUGGCAACCACAGACCGUCCCGCAUCUUUUCUUAUUUUCCCAAAUCUUCAGCUUUCACACGGUUCAGCCUGGUUCACAGUUGUUGGCGAACCCAAAGUAGAGCGGCACCUAGACAACGCCUUUCACCUCCAGGAAACCAUUAGAGAAAGUGUUUACCAUGGGAAUGGGUGUGUGCAUGUGCACGGGUGUGUGUGUGUGUGUGUGUGUGUGUGUAUCUCCUCCCUGAUAUCUGUGUAUCUGAGUCUGACAUGCUUCUCAUUUUCACCAUGGAAAGCUGUUUACAGAAACAAAAUAGAAGAGAAUAAAAGAUAAAGUAAAAUCUGUCUGAAAGCCCUCAUCUGAAGUUAACUGAUAGGUAAGUUGGUGAGCGUUCUUCGAGUGUGUGUGUGUGUGUGUGUGUGUGUGUGUGCGCGCGCGCGCGUGUGUAAAAUACAGUUUUCCAGAGAGAAAAGCCCUGUAGACAGUCCUUUGCAAUACCAUUGUCCUCUUCCAUUUUGACAGACUGUAGAGAUUCUUUCCAUGACAGUGAAUAUGGAGCGCCAUCAUUCUUGUUAAUGGCUACAUAGGACUCUAUUGUGUGGCCAUCCCAUGAUUAAUUUAACCUAUCCCUUACAAUCCACAUUCAUCCACAUUCAUUCAGCAGCAUAAUUAUCCAUUUAAUCACCUGUCUCUGUCUAGGCUGUGUGCUCAUUGAACACAGGGACAUAUCUAAAGCCCACAGGCAAACAGUGGGCACCCAAUAAAUGUUCACACGCACAGAUGGGUAAGUUACUGAGAAGGGGAGAAAGGGGUUCUGCUUCGUCAGCGCUGUGGAUUGUUUCUGGCUACACCUAUGUUUUGAAGGACAGCCCAUUAACCCAGGGCUGUUGAGGGCACUGUAGUGAUUUUACAGCUGACAGUUGCUGUGUUCUCAGUGCGGUGACUUUAAAUCCCUGUGCUACGAAGAAGAAUUAAUUCAUGAUCUUCCGGAAGAAAAGUCCUUGGUUUCCUGAGCCCAUGGGCUGCUUUGUGUGCAGCGAUAGCCUCUCACCGGCUCAUGUCUUCCGAAUCCACAAAGACUGGGAGAGAGAGGCCUUUUUACAUCUAGGAAAACGAGGGCUGGCUUUUUGUGGGGGACACCAGGGGUGAUGACCUCACUGUCUUUCAGAGUUCUAGGCAGGAUACCUUAGUCCUUUAUCUCCAGUAAGGAAUAUGACCCAAAGGAAAGAUGUAAACAAAACUCAACUGCCUCUAAGAUAUUAGAUGAAAAGAAAUUAGAUACUGGUCACUUGCUUCAGGGGGAGGGAAGGAUGUUAGGCUUCUGUUCCAAGCCUUCUCUGUGUCCUUAGCUAUUGUCACAGCCCCUGUGCUCCCUAGUUUUGUGUCAACUUGACACAAGGUAGGGUCAUCUGGAAAGGAGGAAUCUCCUUUGAGAAAAUGCUUCCACAGGAGUGACCUAUGUGGGUCAAUCUGCAGGCUGUGGUAGGGCAAGUCUGUAGGGCAUUUGACUAAUUGAUAGUUAACGUGGAAGGGCCCACCCUUUGUGAGUGGUGCCAGUCUUGGGCAGGAGGUCAUGGGUUCUAUAAGAAAGCAGGCUGAGCAAGCUUCGAAGAGAAAUCCAGUAAGCAGCAUCCUCCACGGCCUCUGCUUCAACUCCCGCCUCCAGGUUCCUGCCCUGACUUCCCUCAGAGGUGGAGUGUGACCUGGGAGCAAGCUGAAGGAAACCCUUUCCUCAGGGUGACGGUGUGUCAUCACAGCAAUGGAAACCCCAGGGAAGACAGCCUUCUAGUGCUUAGCACCUCGAACAAAUUCAAAAUCUUCGUCUUUGGAAGAAAAGUAACUGAAGAGUUAAGACCUCACUUUUCUCGUGUGCAAAAUGGAGCCCCCUUUCUGGCCUCUGAGAAGGAGUGCAGACUGAUAAAUUCCUGUCUGCAGUGUGGCAUCAGCUGCAGUUCCCGAGGACCUGUAGACACGCUGCCAGUCGAUGCUUCUGCUGCUGUCCUUGCUGCUGGCAUUGCUGCAGCGUCACCAUGGCCUGUCCACUGCAGCUGCUCUUAGUCAUUCAGUCCUGCAUCUCUGCAGCAGCCAAGGCUGAGCAGGUCCCUGGCUGUGCUCUGCCACUGCUGAGGCAGAGGCGUUCUCCCUCACUUUAAAUCUGCUCCUCACUUGUAGGCCUCUCUCUAUAUGUUCUUUAUUUAUUAAGGCUAUGAACCCAUUGGUUUAUGCUUAUCUCAUAGACAUUUUCCAAGUUUAUCAUUUUGGCUCCUAUGGAGAAUAUUUUCAUAUAACUUCUAUUGGUAUAUCUUUAUUGUUCACAGUGACAGGGUUCAUGAAGAUAUUUUGGUAUAAACAAAUUGUGUACUUUGACCUAACUUACCACCCCUCCUAUACUAUUCCUCACCCCCUCCUGGUAUUCUCAGUCCAUUGCUUCUGCUUUCAUGUUAACACAUAGGAGCUAUGUAAAGAGGAAAGGUCAAGUUGGGUGAGUGCUUCUUUUAUGACAUCCCACCUUCCUAAUUUGCAGCUUUUGAUUGUGUAAAGAUGGCUGCUUUGAGACAGCGUCUCACUACUUCAUCCACGAUGGCCUUGAGCUCUUCCCAUCCUCUUGUGAGGAUCCCACGUGCUACAGUCACAAGCAUA